CAAGCGUUGUCCGGAAUUAUUGGGCGUAAAGCGCGCGCAGGCGUUCUUUAAGUCCGAUGUGAAAGCCCACGGCUCAACCGUGGAGGUCAUUGGAAACUGGGAACUUGAGUGCAGAAGAGGAAAGUGGAAUUCCAUGUGUAGCGGUGAAAUGCGUAGAGAUGUGGAGGAACACCAGUGGCGAAGCGACUUUCUGGUCUGUAACUGACGCUGAGGCGCGAAAGCGUGGGAGCAAACAGGAUUAGAUACCCUGGUAGUCCACGCCGUAACGAUGAGUGCUAAGUGUUAGGGGUUUCCGCCCCUUAGUGCUGCAGCUAACGCAUUAAGCACUCCGCCUGGGGAGUACGGCCGCAAGGCUGAAACUCAAAGGAAUUGACGGGGCCCGCACAAGCGGUGGAGCAUGUGUUUAAUUCGAAGCAACGCGAAGAACCUUACCAGGUCUUGACAUCCCACUGACCGGUUAGAGAUACGCUUUUCCCUUCGGGGACAGUGGUGACAGGUGGUGCAUGGUUGUCGUCAGCUCGUGUCGUGAGAUGUUGGGUUAAGUCCCGCAACGAGCGCAACCCUUGAUCUUAGUUGCCAGCAUUCAGUUGGCACUCUAAGGUGACUGCCGGUGACAAACCGGAGGAAGGUGGGAUGACGUCAAAUCAUCAUGCCCCUUAUGACCUGGGCUACACACGUGCUACAAUGGACGGUACAAAGGCUGCAACCCCGCGAGGGCAAGCCAAUCCCAGAAAACCGUUCUCAGUUCGGAUUGCAGGCUGCAACUCGCCUGCAUGAAGCCGGAAUCGCUAGUAAUCGUGGAUCAGCAUGCCACGGUGAAUACGUUCCCGGGCCUUGUACACACCGCCCGUCACACCACGAGAGUUUGUAACACCCGAAGUCGGUGAGGUAACCCUUGUGAGCCAGCCGCCGAAGGUGGGACAGAUGAUUGGGUGAAGUCGUAACAAGGUAGCCGUAUCGGAAGGUGCGGCUGGAUCACCUCCUUUCUAA
rnacentral:rRNA from 1 species